UACGGGGGGGGCUAGCGUUGUUCGGAAUUACUGGGCGUAAAGGGCUCGUAGGCGGCCAACUAAGUCAGACGUGAAAUCCCUCAGCUUAACUGGGGAACUGCGUCUGAUACUGGAUGGCUUGGAUUUGGGAGAGGGAUGCGGAAUUCCAGGUGUAGCGGUGAAAUGCGUAGAUAUCUGGAGGAACACCGGUGGCGAAGGCGGCAUCCUGGACCAACAUUGACGCUGAGGAGCGAAAGCUAGGGGAGCAAACGGG
rnacentral:rRNA from 1 species